rnacentral:rRNA from 1 species
UAUACUAAGAGUUUGAUCCUGGCUCAGGGUGAACGCUGGCGGCGUGGAUAAGGCAUGCAAGUCGAAUGGCCGUGUCUCGAUGGACUCGAUACGCGGAAUUUCAAAUUUCAAAGCUCAAAUGUCAAAUCAAUAACAAAUGUCCAAUGACUAAAUUACAACGAUUAAUUUUUGUCAUUUUGAUUUUGGAUUUGAUUGGUCAUUUGGAUUUUGUCAUUUGGAUUUCUCGUAUCGAGCAUAGCGAGAUGCGGCCAUGGCAAACGGGUUAGUAACACGUAGGUAACCUACCCGAAAGCGGGGGAUAACCCACCGAAAGGUGGAAUAAUACCCCAUGUGCUGGCACAUGAGUUUUGUUCUUGAAUAAAUAUGGAAAUUAGUUCUGAUACGAGAUUGACCUUUUUUACACACUUGGCUGGUUGGUGAGGGGAAAGAUAGGUCUGUGAAAAAGGAAGUAGGUUUAAUGUCUAAUAGCGUCAGACAGAAAACCGACCACACAAAUUGCGAUGUGUGUGCGCUUGUAUCAGAACUCUUAUACACGAGGAGGACAUCGCUGGUGUUGUGGGUUAUCGAGUUUGUCUUUAAAAGCAGACUCCAUCGUGCCAAGAUAACACCACACCCAGCGAUGUCCAUUAUUUAUUAAAAUUUCAAGAAUGAAACUCUUGUGCCAGUAAAGAUUUAUCGCUUUCGGAAGGGCCUGCGGCCUAUCAGCUUGUUGGUGGGGUAA